GAAUUAGAAUUAUUACUUCCAUUAUUGUCAUGGUUUCUGGUUUCUGUGCUGUGCUCCUCUUCCUCAAGCUCAGUGUGAAAUAAAACAAAGGCGUUUUUCUUCGAUCCUUGUUCCUUUUACUUUCUUCUUCUUGAAAUAUCAAGCUGCAAGACGCAUCCUCUCUUUCUCCUCAGCUGCAAAAUACCAGAUCUGCCAAUCUGCCACAUUAUUCAAUUUCUUUACCAUCUUUAUAAUUUCUAUCAAAACAAGGAAAGUAAACAGAUCGCCACAACAACGAUACUGUAACUAAUAGAACCCAUCAGCUUCA
rnacentral:misc_RNA from 1 species